rnacentral:rRNA from 1 species
UUUGUGGGGUAUGGCCUACNNGNCUUUGGACGGGUAGCUCGGCCUGAGAGGGUGACCGGCCACACUGGGACUGAGACACGGCCCAGACUCCUACGGGAGGCAGCAGUGGGGAAUAUUGGACAAUGGGCGGAAGCCUGAUCCAGCAACGCCGCGUGAGGGAUGACGGCCUUCGGGUUGUAAACCUCUUUCAGCACAGACGAAGCUGGUGGUGACGGUAUGUGCAGAAGAAGCACCGGCCGACUACGUGCCAGCAGCCGCGGUAAUACGUAGGGUGCGAGCGUUGUCCGGAAUUAUUGGGCGUAAAGGGCUCGUAGGCGGUUUGUCGCGUCGGGAGUGAAAUCCACUGGCUUAACUGGUGGCUUGCUUUCGAUACGGGCAGACUGGAGGUAUGCAGGGGAGAACGGAAUUCCUGGUGUAGCGGUGAAAUGCGCAGAUAUCAGGAGGAACACCGGUGGCGAAGGCGGUUCUCUGGGCAUGUCCUGACGCUGAGGAGCGAAAGUGUGGGGAGCGAACAGGAUUANAUACCCUGGUAGUCCACACCGUAAACGUUGGGCGCUAGGUGUGGNAUCCAUUCCACGGNUUCCGUGCCNNANCUAACGCAUUAANCGCCCCGCCUG